GGACAAGCCACGCUUGCCUUUAACUUGAACUUUUGAAUCCAACAUUCAGGAGGUUAAUUUAUGGCAC
rfam:Kluyvera intestini strain GT-16 tig00000000, whole genome shotgun sequence.